rnacentral:rRNA from 1 species
AGUGAACGCUGGCGGUAGGCCUAACACAUGCAAGUCGAACGGCAGCACAGUAAGAGCUUGCUCUUACGGGUGGCGAGUGGCGGACGGGUGAGGAAUACAUCGGAAUCUACUUUUUCGUGGGGGAUAACGUAGGGAAACUUACGCUAAUACCGCAUACGACCUACGGGUGAAAGCAGGGGAUCUUCGGACCUUGCGCGAUUGAAUGAGCCGAUGUCGGAUUAGCUAGUUGGCGGGUUAAAGGCCCACCAAGGCGACGAUCCGUAGCUGGUCUGAGAGGAUGAUCGGCCACACUGGAACUGAGACACGGUCCAGACUCCUACGGGAGGCAGCAGGGGGGAAUAUUGGACAAUGGGCGCAAGCCUGAUCCAGCCAUACCGCGUGGGUGAAGAAGGCCUUCGGGUUGUAAAGCCCUUUUGUUGGGAAAGAAAAGCAGCAGGUUAAUACCCCGCUGUUCGGACGGGACCAAAAGAAUAGCACCGGCUAACUUCGUG